rnacentral:rRNA from 1 species
UACGUAGGGGGCAAGCGUUGUCCGGAUUUAUUGGGCGUAAAGGGCGUGUAGGCGGCCUGUUAAGUCGGGGGUGAAAAUCCAGCGCUCAACGCUGGGACUGCCUCCGAAACUGAUGGGCUUGAGUGCUCUAGAGGGCAGUGGAAUUGCCGGUGUAGCAGUGAAAUGCGUAGAGAUCGGCAGGAACACCAGUGGCGAAGGCGACUGCCUGGGGAGUAACUGACGCUGAGGCGCGAAAGCUGGGGGAGCAAACGGG